UCUAUCACUUGAACACAGGUGUGGGCUUACCUGACCAUGGCUGUCAAUAAGGAGGGGGGAGGUGUACUGGUAAUGAUCCCCACAGCUUGUUGGUAAGCUGUUACAGGAGCUUUAGGCAACACUUGCUCUGGCCAUGCCCUUCAGUCCUGGCCCUGGCUAUCUCUGUUCUGUUGGCGCAUGAUGCCAUGGUUUUGGUCACCUCAAGGCCUGCUUAGUGCUUGGUAAACAGAC